AUGGGCGCAAGCCUGAUGGAGCAACACCGCGUGAGUGAAGAAGGGUUUCGGCUCGUAAAGCUCUGUUGUUGGAGAAGAACGUGCGUGAGAGUAACUGUUCACGCAGUGACGGUAUCCAACCAGAAAGUCACGGCUAACUACGUGCCAGCAGCCGCGGUAAUACGUAGGUGGCAAGCGUUAUCCGGAUUUAUUGGGCGUAAAGCGAGCGCAGGCGGUUGCUUAGGUCUGAUGUGAAAGCCUUCGGCUUAACCGAAGAAGUGCAUCGGAAACCGGGCGACUUGAGUGCAGAAGAGGACAGUGGAACUCCAUGUGUAGCGGUGGAAUGCGUAGAUAUAUGGAAGAACACCAGUGGCGAAGGCGGCUGUCUGGUCUGCAACUGACGCUGAGGCUCGAAAGCAUGGGUAGCGAACAGGAUUAGAUACCCUGGUAGUCCAUGCCGUAAACGAUGAGUGCUAGGUGUUGGAGGGUUUCCGCCCUUCAGUGCCGGAGCUAACGCAUUAAGCACUCCGCCUGGGGAGUACGACCGCAAGGUUGAAACUCAAAGGAAUUGACGGGGGCCCGCACAAGCGGUGGAGCAUGUGGUUUAAUUCGAAGCUACGCGAAGAACCUUACCAGGUCUUGACAUCUUGCGCUAACCUAAGAGAUUAGGCGUUCCCUUCGGGGACGCAAUGACAGGUGGUGCAUGGUCGUCGUCAGCUCGUGUCG
rnacentral:rRNA from 2 species